CAGUAGGGUGCCAUCAAGAGGUGUGUUUGGAAAUAUCCCUAAUAAAAGGAUCAC
rnacentral:rRNA from 1 species